rnacentral:lncRNA from 1 species
CGGUAACAAAAAUGGACCAUGUUCACUCCACUUUGGAUAAGGAUUCCUUCCCAAUUCAAAUACCUUCUAUUUCCUUAUCAGCAACCCACUCACCUCGAGAAACCUUAUCUCCAUAUCCUUCUCCUAAUCAAUCACUUUCACCAAACGAGUCAACCUAAUCACCAACUAACAACACAAAUUCUACGACACCAGCUCAAUCUAAUCCUAUAAAUUUAGUUGUUGAAUUUAGUCAUUAUCCCAUUACAAAUAACCAAACUGAAAGAACACAAACUGCCUAGACUCGAACCCAUGCCAUUACACUUCGGCCCAAGAUGCUUCACCAUCGGCAAGCCAAUUCCGUUACUAGACAUCCCAUACAAACCAAAUCAAUUAAUUAUCUCUUGACAGAACCUUCAACCUUUCACCAUGCAAAUAAAUUUGAGGAAUGGCGUACGGCCAUGUUAGACGAACUUCAUGCCUUGAUCAGAAACAAUACUAGGAGUUUGGUUCCAUGUCCAAUUGGCAAAAAUGUUGUGGGAAUAAAUGGGUCUUUCGCAUUAAAAGGAAUCUGGAUGGUACUAUUGCUCACUACAAGGCAAGGUUAGUUGCAAAGCGAUACAAUCUAAUAGAAGGUGUGGACUUCCAUGAGACAUUUAGUCCAGUGGUUAAGGCUACUACUAUUCGGACAAUUAUUAGCAUUGCGGUGCAUCAUGGGUGGUCCAUGAGACAAUUGGACAUCUCAAAUGCGUUCCUUCAUGGCAACAUUGAUGAUGAAAUUUAUAUGGCUCAACUGGUGGGAUUUACAGAUAAGGUCAAUCCUAACUUUGUUUGUAAAUUAAAUAAGUCAUUAUAUGGUCUAAAGCAGGCACCACAUGCAUGGUUUCUCAGAUUGAGCAAUUUUCUAUUUUCUUUCGGAUUCAUAAAUUCCAAGGCUGACCAUUCUCUAUUUUUCUUACAUUAUGAAGCUCACAAGAUCUUUAUUCUUGUCUAUGUCGACGAUAUUGUGGUUAUAGGCAUUUCUGACGCCCUUAUCAAUCAAUUUGUUGCCAAGUUAUAGAAAGUUUUUCUUAUUCAUGAUUUAGGGCCAUUACGUUUCUUUCUUGGUCUUGAAGUCAUUCCAACAUCUGAUGGCCUUAUUUUAUCUCAACGUAAAUACGUGAGAGAUUUGUUGGAGAAAACUAAGAUGGAGGGUGCUAAACCGUUUCCUACACCACUGGCAAGUGCGCCCCCCUUGUCCAAGACUAUAGGUAUUCCAGUAGAAAAUGGGGAUGUCUAUUGGCAAACAGUAGGAAUAUUGCAAUAAAUUACCCUAACGAGACCUGACAUUGCAUUCUCUGUUAAUAAAUUGUGCCAAUUUAUGCAUUGUCCUACUGAUAUUCAUUGGAAGGCAGUCAAACGAUUAUUACGUUACUUGAAGGAUACUAUUUCCUAUGGUCUUUCUGUGGUGCGUUCUUCUUCAUUACACUUACAUUGCUUUGCUGACAGUGACUAGGCUGGAUGCCCUGACAAUAGGCGAUCUACAAGUGGGUAUAGAAUUUUUCUUGGAAAUAUUUUGGUCUCGUGGGCAGCAAAGAAACAACCCACCAUUGCCAGAUCCUCAACCGAAAGUGAAUAUAAGGCCUUGGCAAAUGCUACGACUGAGGCUAUUUGGACAUCUUCUCUUUUAAAAGAAAUUGGCUUUGGUUUGGACAAGCCGACUACCUUUUGGUGUGACAAUAUUGGUGCCAUAUAUCUUUCUUCAAAUCCAAUUUUUCAUGCACGUACCAAACACAUAGAACUUGAUUAUCACUUCAUCUGUAAACGUGUCGCGAGUAAAGACUUUCAAGUUCGAUUCAUAUCUACUCAUGAUCAAGUGGCUGACAUAUUUACCAAGCCUUUGCCUACACGCCGUUUUCAUCAAAUUCGUCCCUUCUUAUGUUUGAAGGCUGCUCCAGUAUAGGCUUUGGGGGGGGGGGGGGGGGGGUGUUGGAAGAUAAAGAUAAUUACUACUUUAUCUUUAUCAUCUACAACCUCCCAGGAGAUAAUUGUUUACUCUUUCUUUGUAGUUAUCACAUUGUUGUACCUCACUAUAAACAUGUAAACAUCACUUCAAAAAUAUAAGAACUCUAUUUCUUCAAAGAAUGUUGCUAUAGACUCCUUUAGCAACAUUCAAUCAAUGAAUGUUGCCUUUUGAAUGUUUCAAAUGAGUCUUUUUGUUGUAGUGUUUAUAGUUUCGAAGUAAAUUGCCGUUUGCCAGAGAUAGGGUCGUGG